rnacentral:rRNA from 1 species
UGCAAGUCGAGCGGUAACAGGUCUAGCUUGCUAGACGCUGACGAGCGGCGGACGGGUGAGUAAUGCAUAGGAAUCUGCCCGGUAGUGGGGGAUAACCUGGGGAAACCCAGGCUAAUACCGCAUACGUCCUACGGGAGAAAGGGGGCUYCGGCUCCCGCUAUCGGAUGAGCCUAUGUCGGAUUAGCUAGUUGGUGAGGUAAUGGCUCACCAAGGCGACGAUCCGUAGCUGGUCUGAGAGGAUGAUCAGCCACAUCGGGACUGAGACACGGCCCGAACUCCUACGGGAGGCAGCAGUGGGGAAUAUUGGACAAUGGGGGCAACCCUGAUCCAGCCAUGCCGCGUGUGUGAAGAAGGCCUUAGGGUUGUAAAGCACUUUCAGCGAGGAAGAACGCCUGGCGGUUAAUACCCGCCAGGAAAGACAUCACUCGCAGAAGAAGCACCGGCUAACUCCGUGCCAGCAGCCGCGGUAAUACGGAGGGUGCAAGCGUUAAUCGGAAUUACUGGGCGUAAAGCGCGCGUAGGUGGCUUGAUAAGCCGGUUGUGAAAGCCCCGGGCUCAACCUGGGAACGGCAUCCGGAACUGUCAMGCUAGAGUACAGGAGAGGAAGGUAGAAUUCCCGGUGUAGCGGUGAAAUGCGUAGAGAUCGGGAGGAAUACCAGUGGCGAAGGCGGCCUUCUGGACUGAUACUGACACUGAGGUGCGAAAGCGUGGGUAGCAAACAGGAUUAGAUACCCUGGUAGUCCACGCCGUAAACGAUGUCGACCAGCCGUUGGGUGCCUAGCGCACUUUGUGGCGAAGUUAACGCGAUAAGUCGACCGCCUGGGGAGUACGGCCGCAAGGUUAAAACUCAAAUGAAUUGACGGGGGCCCGCACAAGCGGUGGAGCAUGUGGUUUAAUUCGAUGCAACGCGAAGAACCUUACCUACCCUUGACAUCCUGCGAAUUCGUGAGAGAUCACUUA